rnacentral:misc_RNA from 1 species
AAGUUCUGCUUCUCAGAAUUUGGAACAUCUCUGAAACUUGGCAAGGGCUCAUAAGGAGCAGGCUGAUUCCCAUUCAGCUUUGCAUUAACAGCUUGAGAAAGUUUAUUGCCAUAAUUUGUUCCUAAAUUUGAAGUUGGAUUAAACCCUGCUACUGACGUAGCACCUGCGCUUGCAUACCGGUUACCGGAUAAAUCACCGUUCCUUGGGCUGGUAGAAGCAUUUGAUGAGGAAGUAGAGGUUCCCCCUCCCUCACGAUUUUCAGAUGAUUUAGAUGGCUUCCUAGGGAGCCUAUUGAGUAUCUGUUUGAUCAUUACUUAAAUGGAGUAUGAUAUCUCCUGUUCAGACACUCAACCCACACUCCUUGCAAAGCAAAAGCAGCAACUACACUUACAGAAAAGUUCAAUUGCCCAAUUCAGUGUGUUGGGCUCCAAAAAAACGAAGAGAUCAAGAUAAAAGAUUCAUAAAAGAACAGUCACCGGUGGUCUUUUUUCCUCUACUGCUAUGUUUUGGUGGCUUAAUUCACUGUUCGUGGUUUGCUUCCUUUCUCAUUCCCUUUCUAAAGUUUCUUUUUUCAGGACUUUCUCAGGGAUUUCAACCUCAAAACCACAG